UGGGGAAUAUUGGACAAUGGGCGCAAGCCUGAUCCAGCCAUGCCGCGUGGGUGAAGAAGGCCUUCGGGUUGUAAAGCCCUUUUGUUCGGGACGAAAUCGUACGGGUGAAUAUCCCGUGCGGAUGACGGUACCGGAAGAAUAAGCACCGGCUAACUUCGUGCCAGCAGCCGCGGUAAUACGAAGGGUGCAAGCGUUACUCGGAAUUACUGGGCGUAAAGCGUGCGUAGGCGGUUUGUUAAGUCCGCUGUGAAAGCCCUGGGCUCAACCUGGGAAUUGCAGUGGAUACUGGCAAGCUAGAGUGCGGUAGAGGAUGGUGGAAUUCCCGGUGUAGCGGUGAAAUGCGUAGAGAUCGGGAGGAACACCCGUGGCGAAGGCGGCCAUCUGGACCAGCACUGACGCUGAGGCACGAAAGCGUGGGGAGCAAACA
rnacentral:rRNA from 1 species